rnacentral:rRNA from 1 species
CACGCCCUAAACGAUGUCAACUAGGUGUUGGAAGGGUUAAACCUUUUAGUGCCGUAGCUAACGCGUGAAGUUGACCGCCUGGGGAGUACGGCCGCAAGGCUAAAACUCAAAGGAAUUGACGGGGACCCGCACAAGCGGUGGAUGAUGUGGUUUAAUUCGAUGCAACGCGAAAAACCUUACCCACCUUUGACAUGUACGGAAUCCUUUAGAGAUAGAGGAGUGCUCGAAAGAGAGCCGUAACACAGGUGC